GAGAAAAAAGAGGGCACUUUGAGCAAAGUCUUCAAAGAUUUUCUCGCUCGCCAAACGGAAAAGCCAUAAAAUAAGGGAAAAGUUUUGAACUUAGUCGCAUUGGGUAUUGGAUUUUUUAUUUUUUAUUUUGUUUAGCGGGAAUCGCCAUGAACGGCGACGGGAUUGAAGCAAUGCAAGUGGAGAAGGAGAGGUUGGUGUACAUGUGGGGUUACCUUCCCGGAGCUCUGCCGCAGAGGACGCCGUUAUUGACGCCGGUUAGGGUUCCGCCGUCUGAUUACCCUUGGUGGGAUGUUUGCGGUGGUGGUUGUGGAUUUGCCAUGGCUAUCUCUGCACAAGGAAAGCUCAUAACAUGGGGUUCAGCAGAUGAUUUAGGCCAAAGCUAUGUCACAUCUGGCAAACAUGGGGCAACUCCAGAGCCUUUCCCUCUUCCUGCUGAAGCGCCUAUUGUAAAAGCUGCAGCUGGAUGGGCACAUUGUGUAUCUGUGACAGAUAGUGGAGAAGUUUACACAUGGGGAUGGAAGGAAUGUGUUCCCUCUGGGAAGGUACUUGGCGAAUCAUCAAUUGUGGUAAGUCCCGAAAAGGAUGUACCAGGAAGGCAAAGUUCAUUCUUGACGGAGCAAGGUGUGUUCCUCUUUAAAAUUGCCAUUUGUCUACAGCUACCGGGCCCUCCUAGGAGGUGGUCUAAGCUAGCCAAAGUGUACAAAAAGGAGGGGGGGAAGAGAGAGGAACUGCUAUGAUAUAGGAUAGAAUGUUUGAAACCCCAAAAGAAAGAAGAAAAGAGCUUUAUCCUUUUAUGAUAAAAAAUAAAGGAUAUUUAGCCUUUAUCUGUCUAACUAUGUAGAGUGGUUUUGCAACAGUGAUACCACGUUCUCAGGGGUCAAAAUCUAUUGGAGGAACUACCUCCAGUACCAGUGGAGAAGAAAGUACAAAGAGAAGGAGAGUAUCGUCAGCAAAGCAAACAGCUGAAACCUCGACAUCUAGUGAUGAUACUAUGACAGCGUUGCCGUGUCUUGUCACAUUAAACCCUGGUGUAAGGAUAUCAAGUGUUGCUGCUGGUGGGCGCCAUACCUUAGCAUUGUCAGAUACAGGGCAGGUGUGGGGUUGGGGCUAUGGAGGUGAAGGGCAGCUUGGUUUGGGUUCUAGAAUACGAAUGGUGUCCUCUCCUCAUCUUGUUCCUUGUAUUGAUUCCUCUUCUUAUGGUAAAGAUAUAUCACGGGCUCAAGGAAGCAUGAGUUCAGAGGGACAAAAUUUUAGAGUUCCAGGAAGUUAUGUGAAAGGAAUUGCCUGUGGAGGUCGACACAGUGCAGUAAUCACAGAUGCUGGAGCUGUGCUUACUUUUGGUUGGGGACUUUAUGGACAGGUAAAGUAGAAUAUGGUGGGCAAAAGCAAUGUAGAUGUUGAAGAUGAGGUUCCUCUAACAAGGGAUAAUCUGUUCUGUUCCUAUGCAAUAUUCAUCAUUCUAAUCACUCUCUUGGUUGAUUUAUGCUUAUGCUUGUUAUACUGAAUUAAUUGUCAUCUUGUUUUGGAAAAGUGCGGGCAAGGAAGUACAGAUGAUGAACUUAGUCCAACUUGCGUGUCUUCCUUAUUGGGUAUCCGAAUAGAGGGAGUUGCUGCAGGUUUGUGGCAUACUGUGUGUACAUCUGCUGAUGGUGAUGUAUAUGCAUUUGGUGGAAACCAAUUUGGACAGCUGGGAACUGGUGCUGAUCAAGCUGAGACUGUACCGAGGCUACUGGAUUGUCCGAGCUUGGAAAAUGUGAAUGUAAAGAGCAUAUCAUGUGGGGCUCGUCACACUGCUCUAAUAACAGACAAUGGAAAAGUCUUCUGCUGGGGAUGGAACAAGUAUGGACAGCUGGGCCUUGGGGAUGUGAUUGACCGUAACAUUCCUUCUGAAGUUACCAUGGAAGGUUGUGUAGCUAAAAACGUUGCAUGUGGGUGGUGGCAUACUCUUCUUCUGGCUGAAUCACCCACUUGAUGUCACGUGGCUUCCUUGAGGCUCUUGACUCAAUUUUGUUAGUUAGAUGUUGUUUUGUUUGGUAAAUUUAUGAAGCCAUAUGCAUAUGUAUAUGUACAUAUUGAGUGGUAUACGUGUGUAUAUAUGCUUGUAUUCUUUCAUGGUGUGAAUCAUCAUGACUGGCUCUAGCAUUUAACAACAUCCAAUAGUGAUUUCUGGUUUGGGAAGGAAAAUAUUGGGUCCUUUUCACCUAUGUAAGAUUAUUCUUCAUAAUGUAUAUUUUCUCUUAAUUGUCUAAACUAACCAGUGUAAUUAAAUACCCUGGAAGUUUGUGCUGCCUCCUGGUAUGUAGUUUUGGAGGCAUGAUUGGUUGUUUUAAUACAUCUUUUCUUUUUGGUCAUAUAUAUAUAUUGGCCUUUGAGGUCCAAUGCAUGGGCUGAGAUUGAUUUU